rnacentral:tRNA from 1 species
GCGGCCUUGGCCUAUCGGUUGGGCUUCUGCCUUCCAAGCAGAUGAGGCGAGUUCGAUUCUCGCAGGCCGCUCCA